rnacentral:lncRNA from 1 species
AAAAAUCUUCAUAUAUAGUGAAAUCAGUCAAUUUCUUCAAGCCUUCAACUCUCCAUACUUAGCUAGUUUCUGUAUUCAUGAAUUAUAAUUUUUCAAAACAGCAUCCUGGUAACACCGCAUUCAGCCAUAUUUACACUAAUUAAACCAACAAAAGUAGUAUUAUAAACAAUCUGAUGAAGAUUGCCCCCGGUUUAUAUAUGUAUGUUAAGUACAUUCCCACACUUCCCU